rnacentral:piRNA from 1 species
UGUGUUGCCGCUUCGGUGGGGCUA